rnacentral:lncRNA from 1 species
UCCGACAGUUUCAGCAUACUUUGUCUUCUUCCAAUUGCACUUGUUCAUGGAAUCAAAUAAUUUCAUAACUGAAAAUAUAUCUUGAAGAAAUAUUAGUAUCAUCCAUUUGUUUUGUAAACAUCAAAAGAUAGGGAUCAAAAUCAACAAUCUCCCCCUUUUUGAUGAUGACAAAACAAUGGAUGGAAAGAAACAAAAAUAAGUAUAAGCUCCCCCUCAAUCAUUGCAACCAAAACUUUUAAGAGCCAAACUCAUAAUCUCAAAAUAACUUCCCCUUACAAAUUGCAUCCAUUUCUCCCCCUUUUUGUCAUCAUAAGACUAAAAAUCAACUACUAUAAUCCAGCAACAAUAACAGAGAAUUCAAUAUUCCAAGAAAAAAUAGAGAAAUGACAGCAAUCACAGCAAAUCAUCAUGAGAUCAGCAUUAUUCUUUUAUCUCUCUUUUUGACAUCAUAUAGAUUCAGUAGUAUUCAAAGAUAUCAGCGAAAACUCAGAUCAAAGUAUCAAAAGAAAAAAUAUUCUGAACAAGAAUCACUGCAAUGAUUAGACAAAACCUCCUACUUGUUAAAAUUAGCAUCAUGUCUAACUAUCCGCAUGCAUUUCAUGCCUUUUUUUAUAUUCUUUCUCACAUAGCAAUCACUUUUCAUAUGACCUUUUUGACAACAGAAAUUACACAUAAUCAGGGAAUUAUUCAUAUGAACAGGUUUAAUAAAUCUUACUUGUCUUCUCCUAUGGAAAGCAAACUCAUUUGCAGCAGAAUUUAUCUUAAAAUGAGGUUUUGAUUUAUUACUUUGAAAACAGUCCUGUUUUUUAUGUUGAAGCAACUCAUUUAAAUCAUCCAUUCUUCUUUUCAAAUCAUCUUGUCCCCUUUUGAACAUUUCACAAAAACUUGUUUUUCUAUCAAGAUCCAAGUGUAAAGCAGUCUCACUUUUUUUGAAGUAAUCAUUUUCAGCUUUCAACUUUUUGUUUUGUUGAAAAAGAUUUGCAUUAUCUCGAAGCAAAAAACUAAUUUUCUAUUUUAAUUCCUUGUUUCUAACAUAAGAUUCUUUCAAACUAUCAUGCAAUUUUAUAAUGAAAGAUUCAAGAUCAUCAUCAUCUUCAUCAUCACUUUCACAUUGAGAGCUAGAAGAUGUUACCUCAUCAUCUCCAAUGGCCAUGAAAGCCAAUUGAGCAGAUUGAUCUUCCUCUUCAAUUUCACCAUCGGAAUUGCAUUCAUUCCAUGUGAAUUGAAAUUUGUUUAUUCUUGGUUUUCUUCCUUCUUGCUUCUUCAUCACUGGACAGUCACUUGCAUAGUGUCCAGAUUGGCCGCAUUCAAAGCACUGAUCAGUUUGCUUUUUGUUGAACUCUAGCUUCCCUUUGUUUCUCGAGUUGUUGAACUGAUUUGGGAAUGAAUUGCUAGGUCCACCAUUUCUGAAUCUCCUCUUGUUGAGUAUUCGUUUGAAACUUUUUGUGAUGAGAGUGAUAUCAUUGUCAUCACCUUCCACAUCUUCUUCAUCUAGGGAGGCAGAAUCAUCUUCAUCUUGUGAGGCUUUUAGAGCAAUAUUCUUUCGCACUUUUGCAUCCUCUUCCUCUUGCACCUUAGUCUUAAGUUUCAACUCAUAAGAGGUAAGAGAAUUAAUAAGAGAUUCAAUAGGCAUAGUAUUCAAAUCUCUAGCCUCCUCAAUAGCAGUCACUUUAUUUUCCCAAUCAUUGGACAAGGCAUUCAGGAUUUUUCUAUUUUUCUCACCAAGAGAAUAUUCUUUUUCCAGCACCUCUAAAUCUUUAAUGAGAUCAUUGAAUCUACAAUACAUUUGAUCAACAUUUUCAUGAGGUUCCAUCUUGAAAGAUUCAUACUUUGUAACUAGAGUGGACUUCUUUUGUUCUCUAACAUUCUCACUACCUUCAUGAAUUUCUUUCAGUUUGUCCCAAAUUUCUUUAGCUGACUUGCAACCCUUGACUCUAAUAGAUUCAUUUGAGUCUAAUGCACAAUAUAACACAUUCAUGGCUUUUGCAUUUAAGGUGAGAUGAGCUCUAUCCACAGCAGUCAGUUCACUUCUUGUUUUCGGUCUAGAUGCAUGAGUAUUUUCAUCUAUAAGAGAGGCAUCAUAUGGACCUUCACUAAUAAUAAACCAUAAUUCGAUAUCAAUAGAUUGCAAAAAGAUAAUCAUUCUUUCUUUCCAACUCAUAUAAUUUGACCCAUUAAACACAGGUGGUCUAAUAACAGAAUGUCCUUCAAAAAACAUAGCAUUAUUGGUUGUCAUCUUUACUCCAAAGCCGAUUGAGCUUAAUCUCUAGGAGACCAAGCUCUGAUACCAAUUGUAAGGCCCAAAACAACCAAUGCAAAGAUCAUAAACGAAACAAUAAGUAAAUAAAAAGGAAAGGAUUGCAAACCAAUUAACUACCCAACUCCUCUUGAGCUUGUAGAUUAAUUGAAACAAGCUACUUCAAGUUGAUGAAUUACAAUCACUCUUGUGUACAAAGGAAGGUUCACCUCCUCCUUGCCCCAAGCAGCACUCGGUCAAGCCAGGACGUUUUACUAUCCCUCAGGACAACCCUCACAAAGCUACACUCAUGAAAGAUUCACUCACAAAUGAAAAGCUUACAAUGAACCUCACACCACUAAAACUACAAAUAUUCUUUUUGGAGUAUUUUCUCACUAAAAUCUCUCUAGAUCUUUUGUAUAUUCAGUGUGCCAAAGUUGUUUUAAGUGUCUGACCAACCACUAUUUAUAUAGGACCAAGAAAGUGCCUCAUUAAUGCUUCCAACGGAUAGAAAGUAGCUGAACAGUCAACUAGCCGUUGGCAGUGUCGGACGUCCGAUAGCUCUGUUUUAUGCGUCCGACAGCAGGCAGAGAGUUUAAGACUUUUUCUUCAAUUCUUUCGGACGUCCGAUAGGCUGGUUUUCUGCGUCCGAAGGUAUGAUAUAGAACUGGAAAUUUUUCUUCAAUUCCUUAGGACGUCCGAUAGGCUAGUUUUCUGCGUCCGAAGAUACUCAAUGGUUGUCGGACGUCCGAUGCAGUCUUUUUGAGCGUCCGACAGUUUCAGCAUACUUUGUUUUCUUCCAAUUGCACUUGUUCAUGGAAUCAAAUAAUUUCAUAACUGAAAAUAUAUCUUGAAGAAAUAUUAGUAUCAUCCAUUUGUUUUGUAAACAUCAAAAGAUAGGGAUCAAGAUCAACACUAAACACCUACCAAAUGUACCAUGAAUGUUUCUUAAACUUUCCUUUCACAUAUGAACCAUGAUUGGAGGAUUUUCUUAGCCAAACGAUUGGAUUUGGGAAGAAAAGGAUUAAGGGCAGAUUGCCUUGAGAAUUUUUCCAAACUUUGGUUGAUUGGUUAACCACCUUUCCGAAGGUAUUUUUUCACGAAAUUUGAUAGAGAGAUAUCCUUCAUAUACGAGUACCAUACUACAAAAUUUGGUGUCAAUUCAAGUCCGUUUCGACACUUAACAAAAGGUCCAAAGUCGGAACCAAAUCUGAAAAUUUUGUAACAGUCUUGAAUUUUUCCCAACUUUGAGCUAUCAUAUCUUGGUGCUCGAAACUCCGAUUCUUGAUCCGUUUGUUCUGCCCUAAACCUUACUUGUACCUCUAAUUGAUCUAUAAAUUUCAAGGGCUGGUUUGCAACGAGUGAAUUCUGCCAAAUUUCCAAAGUUAGCGAAAAAUCAACCCGACUCAAUCCUGGGUGAUCUGGGACAGCAACUUUAAACUCAUUUUUGAAUACCUUCCAUUUAGAUUCGUGGAACAGUGUCUUCUAAGAACUUUUAGUAAUUUCCAAGAGGUUUCUAACGGUAUAAAUUUUUCCAAUUUUAGACUUGUAUCGAGUAAGAUACGAUUUUUCAAAGAUCCAUAUCAAAACUGAAAUUUUCCAACUUUCAAGGAAAUAGAGAUUUCCAAGAACUUUUUAUUCUUUCGACAUUAUGCAAACAUUUUAACCUCGAUUUCCAAGAUAAAAACCCAAAUGCUCCUGUACUUGAAGAAACUCUAAUUGAACCUCGAUUUACAAGUAAUUGAGGUUCGAUUUCGUGGAAUUUCCUUAGAUUGUACUAGUGUACAAUCUUCCUUGAUAAUUGGGAUAUAUGAAUGAUAAUACGUUAUUAUUUGUCCAGGCGCACACGAGGACCUUCAAGAGGAUCCUACCGUGCACACUUGAACUUCUAGAAAAUAUUUCUUCUUGAUUUGCUCGGUGAGUGUCAAGUGUAUGACUACUUGAACUCUAUGGACUUGAUUCAUGCUUGGCUUACCUGAUUACAUGCUUAGCCUACUUGGUUUUGAAAAAUGGAGUCGAGUGUGUACUUUAUCGCACUCGUUCUCAUUUGAAACAAAUAACUCAUGCUUAACAUGGUUUGCCUGAUCUACAUGACCUGAAAUACAUGCUUAGACCUGUCAAAUGCUUGAAUACAUGAUAUGGUAUGCUAUGGCUGCAUACGUCGUUGGAGUGAAUCUCCUCGACACUUACAUGACACAUGGGGGACGCCCAAACUCAUAGGCCGACCUUGGAACUCGAGCCAGCAUUGGCUUGGUCGGGAACCUCGGUGAGCCAUGAGAUUCAUAUGAUAAGCUUGAUCUAUUGGAGAGAUCUUGCUUGGCAUACUUGUGGAGUAUCGCCUCAUAAAUGUCGUGCGGGUCCGAAGCGGUGUAUGGUGGAUGGAUGAGAAGUAAGUGGUGAACUACGGAUAUGAAAUAUCAACCCGGUUGACGGAGAGUCAUCGCGGGAAGAUAUACGAAUGACAUCGGCAAAAUGUGGAACUUAGCUCCUGAGAGCUACCAUAUCCUUGAAUUGUUUCUGGUUACAUUUUUAUUGGCGUUAUUAAUUACUUGCAAGCUAUUACUUGAAUUGUUAUUUGGGUUUGUUACCUGAACUAUGUGCCUGCAUGUGUGUUCUUGGCCUCACGAGCGUUUUUGCUCACCCUAUAGAUUUGUUUUCCUUAACAGGUUUGAACCCGGAGGCGUACUGGAGAAACCCUCCUGAUGAGCUUUUGUUUAGGAUUUCUAUUAUAUUUUGGCUAUGCCCUUGGUUUUAGGUGGUACUUUUGGAAUUGAAAUGUAACUUUUGGGGCGUGAUGUAUAUUUGGGGAUUAUGAUGUACUUUGAACACCCAACGUGCGGGCUGGAUAAUGGAUGACUAUUGUUAAGUUUGAACGCUUUCGCAUUUACUGUAUUUAAAUUAUUUACGUGUGCUGUGAAGAUCGUUAAUAAGUUUGAAUGGAAUUACUUGAGUCCUGGCGAGAGCUAGGCAAGCGUCCCGCGGAUACCCUUUGGUUCACCUUAGGGAGAAGUGGGGGCGUCACAGUUGGUAUUAGAGCAUAGGCUUUAGAUCUUGUAGUGUAUCCUAGGAUUAAAGUUUAGGAUGCCUGACUGUGGGAUGAAUUUGAAUAUUAUGUGAACUAGAGGGUCUAUUGUAUCCUACGGGUUAAAGAAAUUGGUUACUUGAGAGUUUCUUACUUGGGACUUGUAGAAAUAAAAAUUGAGGAAUUAGCUGAUGUUAUAUUGAAGGAAAAUAUGGGAUGAGAGAUUAGUAAUGAAAGAUUGGACGAAUUUGAAUUAUUAUUAUACUUGUAAGUAUGGAAAGAAGUGAGACAAUUAUUAGUGCUGGCUAAAGCAGAUAAGAGACCGAGAUUUGAUGGUCAAACUCCAUGUAUCGUGAUUGUGAACCCAGAUGAAAGAGUUUCAAAGGUAUAAAAUGCAUUUUCCUGCUCAUUUACCUCCUAGAGAAAUUAUGCUUUGAAAUUCUAAAAGAAAAAUGGGGAUGUACUAGUUUUAUUUUCAAACGAUAAUUGGAAAUAAUAUAUAUAUGCUUUAAGUAUGUGUAAUUCUUCGAUUUUGGUAAAUAUGUGAAUUUUACUUGAAUUUCAAUUUAAAAAUUUGUGAAUAACUGAUGAGUUUGUUGAAAUUUUGUAUGUGAUGGGUUGAUACAAGGUUAAAAUUUUCUAAACUAGAUUUUCCCCCUUGAUUGUAUACUGGUGUAUUCUCACACUUGAAUUCAUCUAUGCUUUACAAAAUAAUAAUAAUAAUAAUAAUAAUAAUAAAAAUAUCUUGAAUUUUCGGAAGAACGGCGAACUUAUGUUUUUAUAAUGAAAAUCUUGAACUUGAUAAGAUUUUUGUUACUUUAAAUACUCUUCUUAUCUUUUAAAAUUCUUGGUUUUCAAGAAGGGUGAGCCUAUCUUUAGGUGUACGGAUUGAGGGAACUUUGAGAUAUAGAGUAACCGCAUUCAAGAACACGCAGUUAGUGUGAAUUGACUUGGUUUCCAUUUGACACGUAAGUUAGCAAGUUGUACUUAUUUCUUGGGUUUGAACUUGGAGCUUGAGGCUUUAACUAUAAAACCCUAAGACUAGUUAUUCUUGGAGAUGAUGGUGCUCUGGUUGGUGGCUUGCUUAUUAAAGAUUUUGAACUUCGAAUGGAUAACCUUUGGUUUCCACUUGUGUUAUGGUUUGAUUGGAUCUAAUUUCAUAAAGGCAUGUGAUCUGAUUGGAAUUAGUGAUAUUCGGACCCAUUGGUUUAAUUAAGGACUUAGGAAGGGUGGUGCACGCCAUGAGACCUUUUGUAUCCCGCUUGCAUAUACUUCUACAUUUUGUGACCCUUAAUUGCCUAUAUACAGUAUUUGACAUAUUGGUCUUGUUUUGUGACUUCUUAACUCGUACUAUAACCUUCGAUACAUGUAAAGAAUCAUGUCUUGAUUCUAAAUAUUUUUGCAACUUGUAUAUGCAUUAAGUUCUUUUAUGAUUAAUUAUUCCUUUUCUUGCGCUUAUAGACUCCUAUUAAGUAUGGUAGCAGGAAUAGGAAAAAGGGGUCGUGGCCGAGAGCUUAGACAACCCUGUACUCGUGAGAAAAAUUGAUGGAUGGCCUUAUAUAAUUUAAUGAGAUCCUAGUACUGAAUAUGAAUCGAGAAUAAACCAGAAGAUUAGAUCUACCAGUGUAUAAUGGAUUAACCUAGUUGGGAACUUAGUGAGAUUUUCCUGUGUGAAAUUUUAAUAACUGCUUUAUACGUAUAUUAUGAUUGGUCCUGUGGCCAUAUUUCAACUUUUGUCAAAGUUUGAACUCCAAAAGUAUUUCGUGGGUUUGGUGAGAUGACCUGAACUCAUUACCAAUUUGUUCUACUUGAACAAAAGCGCUUUCAAUUUUACUUGACUAAUACUAUACCCAGAUUCACUUGUUUUACUUUUCACAAAAUUUAUAUAUAUAUAUAUAUAUAUAUGUAUGUAUACAAAUUUUGAACUCGUUUGAGACUCGAAAUCAGAUAGAGUUCAAGUUCGAAUCUUUCUUAGGAACAUGAAUGCCUAUUUGUUAGGAAUCAGAUAUUAGAAAUGAUCGGGUUUUAUGUACCAGUAGAGUUAACUCUUGGUUGGAUAAAAGGGUGGUAAAGGUAUUGGAUCACAGGUUAUGCGAAAAUGAACCUACAUGUUUACCUAUCUUUCUUAAAGGUAUUUUCUAAAAUAUACGCCUUACUCGAACAUAGAUUUAACUCGAAACUUUGAGAAAAAGUGUUGGAACACCCUUCAUGUAUAUGUUAUGAUUAUUAUGUAUAUGUUUUAAAAAUCAUGCAUUAAGUUGCAUGAUUAAUAUUCUUAAAUCUAUUUGAGAGAUUUUAAAUAUGUAUUGAUGAUUGUGGUUAAACAUUAUUUGAAAUCUCUUACUAAGAAAAUUUAGUUUUGGGUCAUGAAGAAAAAUUUGUAUCUUUAACUCUAAUUUUGAAAAUUUUGAAUCGUAUUUUGCCACAGAUACAUUCAAAAUAGAUCAAAAGUCUUGACCUUAUCUUGUAAGUCAUGAUUGGUUUGAUUUAGACAAAAUUUUGAGGAAACGGAUUUUGGUCCUGCUAGUGCGUAACAGUUUUUUUGUUAGGAUUUGGAACUUGUUUCAUAUGGCGUAUAAUUUAUGGUUUUUUGGUUUCACUACACACGGGAGUAAGACCUUAGAAUGGAAGUACAUAUCAUUAUAUCAAGAGGUAUUACUUUAGUCGUGUGUGUGGAUUUUCUUAAGUAUCAUUCGAGGAGAGGGAAGAGUAAAUAUACCUGGAUGACUUAGAUGCGUGAGAAUUUACAGGUUGUGGAUAGUUGAGUUUCAAAUUCUGAUUUGCUACUUAUUUAGAUGCUUGAGCUGAUAGGCUAACAGUCAGGAUUAAGAAAAUGGAUGAAUGAAAAGUUUGGAAGAGAUGCGAAUAGAAAUAGAAAUUUUUCACAAGGAGUUGGAAUUCCAAACUAAAUUGGCUGAAUUCUGGGAAGAAAAAAAAAAGUCGAGAACUUAGGGUUGAGAUGGGAUCCAAUGUUUAAUCGCCAAUUUGAGAUAUUAAAAGUUGUGAGAUUUGGGUGAGUGAAAGGAAAUAUUUGAUGGCUUGAAUGAGCCUAACGAUUAGGGACCGGAUGGUAUAUUUGGAAUGGACGCUUGAGGCUAUAUAUACAUAGAUUAUUGAGAGUUGAACGAUGAGACUAUUAAGAACAAAUGCUCCAUAACCUCACAUAAACGAGAAUUAUAAUCAAGGGUCAGGAGCAGCGAAUAAGGGAUUUAAAGUAGAGUUACUACCAACCGGGAAUCCUAGAAACUGAUGUGCUUAACCACUUCCAAUUUAAGAUGGGGAUGCUUGAAUUUUCAGUUAUGCCAAUUGGGUUGACUAAUGUAUUAGCAGCAAUUAUUGCAUUAAUGCAUCAAGGUUUUAAAUCGUAAUAGGAUUAAUCUGUGAUGGCAUUUAUUGAUGAUGUAUUGAUAUACCCUAAAGUUUGAGAAGAUCAUGAAAAAAUACCUGAUGGUAGUUUUACAAACCCCGAGAGAACGCUAACUUUUGUUAAGUCCAAUAAAGGUGAGAUCGAUGGGAAGAAAUAGCCUUUCUAAGUUAUAUAAUAUCUAAGGAAGAAAUUGUUGUUAACUCAGCUUAAGUGGAAGCUGUUUAAGAGGAAAUGACUAGAAAAUCCUACCGAAAUUUGAAGUUCUUAGAGGUAGUCGAAUAUUACCUUGGUUUGAUCAGGGACUUCUAAGGAUACGAAACUUGGCAAGUUAUUUGAGAUUUUAAAUGUGAGGAAGAAUUUGAAGGUGAAAAUCGUUUAACCAGUGCACUUGUGUUGGCUUUACCGAGCGGAUAAGGUGAUUUUGUGAUUUAUACAGAUGGUUCAAAGGAUGGUUUAGAAUGUAUAUUAAUAAUAUAUGAUGAGGUGAUUGUAUAUGCCUUCUGAAAGUUAAAAUCUUCCGGAAGAAAGCAAUCAACUCAUGAUUUGGGGUGAGUUGGAAAACGUAAGUCAAUGAUUGAUCUGAUAGGCUUAACCAUGAAGGGAAUGAUAUUGUUCUAAGUAUGAAUUUCAAGGACGAAAUUCCUUUCAAGAAGGGGAGGAUGUGAGGAUCCGAAAAUUUUCUUAUUUUUAUAGAAUAUUACUGGAAUAUUUAAAUGAUUAUUCACUCAUUUUCUUCGAAUUAUUUAUUUCGACCAUUUUAAAUCCAUUUAUAUGGAAUGACGCCUCUUUAUAAUUUUAAAGCGUUUUGUUGAAAAAUUCGCUUUUCGAAAAUUUGAUUAGUCCGGAACGACGGGUGCAUGUUUUUCUAGGCUAUACUUGAAUAGGGAGUGUAUUAAUAUUGAAGAAUUAAGAACAAUCAAUAAUAGAUUAAGAAAGGUUAAUGGAGGAAUUAAUACUCAAUUCACGUGAGGACUCGUAAAAUUAUUAUUGUUAAAACCCCUAAUUUUGGCUCAAUUAAUUAUCUAUUUGGAUUUUUGCCCCGAAUAUUAUUUUCUAUUCUUAUUAGACCUAAGUACAUGGUUUUAUAGUUUCGUUAUAUUUUUAAAGUAUCUCGUUUCAAAAAAAAAUUAUUUUCUUAGAAACUUGUUUAGUGAAAAAGGGAAAACGUGUCUGAAAACUUUAGCCAUUUGGGAGUACAAUAAGCUCAAAUAUUUGAGACAUAUACAAUGGUCCUAAAAUACGCAAUUUUAGGCUUAAAGACUCAAGUGAUAGUUAGUGGUAUGAUCGUUACAAGAAUUUCUCAAAGGUUUCAUUUUAUUGCGCCUAAAUUGGAAAUACGUGUGCGCGCUUAAUUGAGGGACUUUGAACCAUUAUUUUGGGACAAUUAAGAAUGAAUAAUAUUUAUAUGAAUAAAUGUGCCCUAGAGGUUUAGUGCACUAGUGCAACAAACUUAAGAGAAAUCGAGUACAAAACGCGCGCGUAGGCGCACUAGUUGCAAUCGAUUUUACGUACUUAAAAUAUUUGACGGCAAGCUUUCUUUAUACGCAAAGGAAUCAGAUCAAAACAUUCCUCUUUUCUUCUCAUUCUGGCCGAGCUGCAGCUGAGGCAAAACAUCUUCAAAUUUCACAAACUUCACCUCAAAAAUCUUGCUCAAACCUCCAUAGAUUCACACCAAAUUUCACAUACACUUAGCUCUACACUUGGACAACACUUUGAGCUGUAAAAGGGAGGAGCUUUCACGGUUUUCUUCAGGCUUCAAAGGGACCGAAAAUUCUGUUUAGAUAAACCAUCAAAGUAGGUAAUGAUCUAAUACCUUAAACUUGUCCUAUGGAAGUUAAAUUACACUUAUGAGCUUGAAUUUGCAUAUAGAUUGUGGUUGUUGUUGGAGAAAUUGGAAAAGUGGACUCUAUGAAUUCCCACUCUUGGGUUGCUGCUGAUUUUGUUCUUAAUGAUGUUUAUAAUGUGGAAUUAGUGUUUAAAUCAGUGGUUUGUUGAUGGAAAAGUGAUAGAAACUCACGUUAGGUGCAAAAGGCCAAAUCUGACCAUUUUACCCCUGCUCUGUUCGGUCACUUUAAUGCCGAAAUUUGAGGAUUUAAUGGCUUGAUUGUGUUGUUUAUAUGUUGUAGUAGUUGUGUAAAAAUUUUCAUUGAAAAAUACUGAGUUUUGGUUGGUCAAACGAAUUUAUUCCCAAAGCUAGUAAUCUGGAAAACGGUUUCGUCGUAAUCCAGACCAGUGUUCGUAUUUCAUCCAUAACUCCGUACUCCGACGUCGAAAUCAAGUUCCGUUAGCUGCAUUUGAAACUAGACGUUCCAAUCUUUCCAACGGUGUAUAAUGAACGUUCUGGUUCUAUGUGUGUGAACCGGACCACUCAUCUGAAUUCAGCUGCCCUGUUUCGCCAUUCUGCCGAAAUGAUUUGAUGAUACUGCAACUUUAGGCUUAAUUUCAAGCUAGUUGCAUGCUGAAACUUAGAACGAUUUCUUCUGUGAAAUUAUAGUCCUAUGCAUGUAUUUUCUAACACUAUCAACCAUGCUCAAAUCCGAGUUAAAUUGAGUGAGUUAUGAUCAAAAUACGGUGACUGUUUUGUUCUUGAAAGCCUUGGAUUUGGACAGAUUUGACGUGACAUUUGUGGUGGUCUUACUAAAUGAAUUUCUUGAUACUAAACACCUACCAAAUGUACCAUGAAUGUUUCUUAAACUUUCCUUUCACAUAUGAACCAUGAUUGGAGGAUUUUCUUAGCCAAACGAUUGGAUUUGGGAAGAAAAGGAUUAAGGGCAUAUUGCCUUGAGAAUUUUUCCAAACUUUGGUUGAUUGGUUAACCACCUUUCCGAAGGUAUUUUUCCACGAAAUUUGAUAGAGAAAUACCCUUCAUAUAGGAGUACCAUACUACAAAAUUUGGUAUCAAUUCAAGUCCGUUUCGACACUUAACAAAAGGUCCAAAUUCGGAACCAAAUCUGGAAAUUUUGUAACAGUCUUGAAUUUUUCCCAACUUUGAGCUAUCAUAUCUUGGUUCUCGAAACUCCGAUUCUUGAUCCGUUUGUUCUGCCCUAAACCUUACUUGCACCUCUAAUUGAUCUAUAAAUUUCAAGGGCUGGUUUGCAACGAGUGAAUUCUGCCAAAUUUCCAAAGUUAGCGAAAAACCAACCCCGGCUCAAUCCUGGGUGAUCUGGGACAGCAACUUUAAACUCAUUUUUGAAUACCUUCCAUUUAGAUUCGUGGAAUAGUGUCUUGUAAGAACUUUUAGUAAUUUUCAAGAGGUUUCCAACGGUAUAAAGUUUUCCAAUUUUAGACUUGUAUCGAGUGAGAUACGAUUUUUCAAAGAUCCAUAUCAAAACUGAAAUUUUCCAACUUUCAAGGAAAUAGAGAUUUCCAAGAACUUUUUAUUCUUUCGACAUUAUGCAAACAUUUUAACCUCGAUUUCCAAGAUAAAAAUCCAAAUGCUCCUGUACUUGAAGAAACUCUAAUUGAACCUCGAUUUACGAGUAAUUGAGGUUCGAUUUCGUGGAAUUUCCUUAGAUUGUACUAGUGUACAAUCUUCCUUCAUAAUUGGGAUAUAUGAAUGAUAAUACGUUAUUAUUUGCCCAGGCGCACACGAGAACCUUCAAGAGGAUUCUACCGUGCACACUUGAACUUCCAGAAAAUAUUUCUUCUUGAUUUGCUCGGUGAGUGUCAAGUGUAUGACUACUUGAACUCUAUGGACUUGAUUCAUGCUUGGCUUACCUGAUUACAUGCUUAGCCUACUUGGUUUUGAAAAAUGGAGUCGAGUGUGUACUUUCUCGCACUCGUUCUCAUUUGAAACAAAUGACUCAUGCUUAACAUGGUUUGCCUGAUUUACAUGACCUGAAAUACAUGCUUAGACCUGUCAAAUGCUUGAAUACAUGAUAUGGUAUGCUAUGGCUGCAUACGUCGUUGGAGUGAAUCUCCUCGACACUUACAUGACACAUGGGGGACGCCCAAACUCAUAGGCCGACCUUGGAACUCGAGCCGGCAUUGGCUUGGUCGGGAACCUCGGUGAGCCAUGAGAUUCAUAUGAUAAGCUUGAUCUAUUGGAGAGAUCUUGCUUGGCAUACUCGUGGAGUAUCGCCUCAUAAAUGUCGUGCGAGUCCGAAGCGGUGUAUGGUGGAUGGAUGAGAAGUAAGUGGUGAACUACGGAUAUGAAAUAUCAACCCGGUUGACGGAGAGUCAUCGCGGGAAGAUAUAGGAAUGACAUCGGCAAAAUGUGGAACUUAGCUCCUGAGAACUACCAUAUCCUUGAAUUGUUUCUGGUUACAUUUUUGUUGGCGUUAUUAAUUACUUGCAAGCUAUUAUUUGAAUUGUUAUUUGGGUUUGUUACCUGAACUGUGUGCCUGCAUGUGUGUUCUUGGCCUCACGAGCGUUUUUGCUCACCCUAUAGAUUUGUUUUUCUUAACAGGUUUGAACCCGGAGGCGUACUGGAGAAACCCUCCUGAUGAGCUUUUGUUUAGGAUUUCUAUUAUAUUUUGGCUAUGCCCUUGGUUUUGGGUGGUACUUUUGGAAUUGAAAUGUAACUUUUGGGGUGUGAUGUAUAUUUGGGGAUUAUGAUGUACUUUGAACACCCGACGUGCGGGCUGGAUAAUGGAUGACUAUUGUUAAGCUUGAACGCUUUCGCAUUUACUGUAUUUAAGUUAUUUACGUGUGCUGUGAAGAUCGUUAAUAAGUUUGAAUGGAAUUACUUGAGUCCUGGCGAGAGCUAGGCAAGCGUCCCGCGGAUAUCCUUUGGUUCGCCAUAGGGAGAAGUGGGUGCGUCACAACCAUCAAGUAGAAUGCAUUCGGAAAAACAAGAGAGAGGCAACGAGAAAUGUAGCUUUGCCAAUCUCUGGUGUUUUGAUCAUAACUGAAGCUACACUUAUGGGAUUGAGGUGAAUUUUAUAGCGUCAACCAUUCUUAUGAAGACAUCGACACCCAGUUCUCACAUUUUCAGGAUCAAAAAUGGCCGGACAAAAGCACAUUCUGCUUCACUCCCUCGGCCAACCAACCUGCACUCAUUUCUACUUUAGCAUUUAGUUGAGUUUCUACUGGUUCCAAUCUUCCUUGUUGAGGUUUAAGGUCCGUAUGACAUGUUACAUUUACUGCACAGGUUUAGAAGUUAAAGUUUAUAGAGGAUCACCAAAGUUUCUUUCUUCCCCCCCCCCCUCGGUUGCAGCAAAUACUUUUUCCAGUAAAACAGUGGCUUAUCUUUUGACAUUUUCUCGCCUUUACUUCCUCAGUUUCUGGUCUCAAUCACUUAUGCAGAGGACACUCAAUCUACUGCAGGUUAUCUUAAGCUAAGCAGAGUCGUUCAUGACCAAAAUUCAGAGGAAUGCUGGGCUAAAUCCCGUGCCUGAGCUUAGCAGCAAAACCUGAUGCAUGGCAGCAUGCAUUAGACUCCAUCGAAUUCAGUUUUAUGUCCCAACUGAACGUAUAGAGGGUAAUGACUUAGCUAAAAAUUAUCCUAAAGAAAGGAUGACAGCUUAUGAUUAGAAUUCACGAGAAUACUGAAGAAAUAUCUGUUGCAUGCACUUCUUAAUGUUAUCAUCCCAAGAAAAAUUUGAUAACAGUUGCAGGUUCAGGCUUUAAUCUCAGUUUUCUGCAAUUUCCCUUUUCCUGCAAUUUUACAGUUGCUGCCCGACAUUUACUUCAGCCACAAGCUCAAAUUCCUAGCUAAAUUCGACAUGCAGCUGGUGUUUAUCCAUUUAUACCAACUAAACAGCGAGUUGUUAUAAAAUCUUACCUGUUCCCCUUAAAGUUCGAUGUUGCAGGCUGCUCAAGUUUCGGUUUCAGCUCCUCAAUUCCUAGCACUCGAUUCUCCCGUUCCUUGCAGUCCCUUCCUCAGCUCUGGCUAAUUGAUUAUGAUGCUUACCUAAGUUGUAACUGGUUUCUCUUAACCGUGCUCUCUCUCUUUUCUCACUCACUCGAGUCUGUUUUUGAAAGAAAGUAAGAAAGGACGACAGCUUUG